CCAAUCGAAUCCGGAGCUAGCUGGUUCUCCCCGAAAUGCGUUUAGGCGCAGCGGUAAAUGUUAUAAUUUAGGGGUAAAGCACUGUUACGUAUGCGGGCUGGUAAUUCGGUACCAAAUCGUUGCAAACUAAGAAUACUAAAUGUACAAUUUACCAGUAAGACUGUGGGGGAUAAGCUCCAUUGUCAAGAGGGAAACAGCCCAGAGCACCAGUUAAGGCCCCUAAAUAAUUACUAAGUGGUAAAGGAGGUGGGAGUGCAUAGACAAUCAGGAGGUUUGCUUAGAAGCAGCAAUCCUUUAAAGAGUGCGUAAUAGCUCACUGAUCGAGUAAACCUGCGCCGAAAAUGUACGGGACUAAGUAAUUUGCCGAAACUGUGCGAUAUAUAUUUAUUAUAUAUCGGUAGGGGAGCGUUCUGUUGUAGGUUGAAGUAUUAGCGUAAGCGGGUAUGGACGAAGCAGAAGUGAGAAUGUCGGCUUGAGUAACGAAAAUAUAGGUGAGAAUCCUAUACCCCGAAAACCCAAGGUUUCCUCCGGAAGGCUCGUCCGCGGAGGGUAAGUCAGGGCCUAAGGCGAGGCUGAAAAGCGUAGUCGAUGGAUAACGGGUUAAUAUUCCCGUACCAUUAUUUAUUGAUAUCGAGGGACGGAGAAGGCUAAGCUGGCCGGAUAUUGGUUACCGGUUUAAGUGUUCAAGGUUAUGAGAAACGGCGAAAACGUUUUGAGCUGAGACAUGACGACGAGAUGCUACGGCGUUGAAGCAGUGUAUGUCAUACUUCCAAGAAAAGCUCGCACUGUCAUAAAUAAAUAAUGCCUGUACCAUAACCGACACAGGUGGGUAGGUAGAGUAUACUAAGGGGCGCGAGAUAACUCUCUCUAAGGAACUCGGCAAAAUAACUCCGUAACUUCGGGAGAAGGAGUGCCUUAUUUUUAAGGUUGCAAUAACAAGAUCCAAGCAACUGUUUAUCAAAAACACAGGUCUCCGCUAAGUCGUAAGACGAUGUAUGGGGGCUGACGCCUGCCCAGUGCCAGAAGGUUAAAGAAGUUGGUUAGCAUUUGCGAAGCUGAUAACUGAAGCCCUGGUGAACGGCGGCCGUAACUAUAACGGUCCUAAGGUAGCGAAAUUCCUUGUCGGGUAAGUUCCGACCCGCACGAAAGGCGUAAUGAUUUGGAUGCUGUCUCGGAGAGGGGCUCGGUGAAAUAGACUUGUCUGUGAAGAUGCGGACUACCUGCACCAGGACAGAAAGACCCUAUGAAGCUUUACUGUAACUUGAAAUUGAAAUUGGACUUUAUUCGCGCAGUAUAGGUGGGAGGCGUUGAUUAUAAUCUUGCGGGAUUAUUGGAGCCAUCAGUGAGAUACCACUCUUGUAAUGUUAGAUUUCUAACUUUGAAUCAUUAUCUGGUCAAAGGACAGUUUCAGGCGGGCAGUUUGACUGGGGCGGUCGCCUCCUAAACGGUAACGGAGGCGUACAAAGGUUUCCUCUGAACGGGUAGAAAUCGUAUCUAGAGUGUAAAGGCAUAAGGAAGCUUGACUGUGAGACCUACAAGUCGAGCAGGGACGAAAGUCGGUCUUAGUGAUCUGACGGUGCUGAGUGGAAAGGCCGUCACUCAACGGAUAAAAGUUACUCUAGGGAUAACAGGCUGAUCUCCCCCAAGAGUUCACAUCGACGGGGAGGUUUGGCACCUCGAUGUCGGCUCAUCGCAUCCUGGGGCUGGAGUAGGUCCCAAGGGUUGGGCUGUUCGCCCAUUAAAGCGGUACGCGAGCUGGGUUCAGAACGUCGUGAGACAGUUCGGUCCAUAUCCGGUGUAGGCGUUAGAAUAUUGAGAGGAGCCUUCUUUAGUACGAGAGGACCGAGAAGGACAUACCUCUGGUGUACCAGUUAUCGUGCCAACGGUAAACGCUGGGUAGCUAUGUAUGGAGUGGAUAACCGCUGAAAGCAUCUAAGUGGGAAGCCCACCUCAAGAUGAGUAUUCUCAUCACGUAAGUGAGUAAGGUCACGGUAAGACUAACCGUUUGAUAGGCAUUAAGU
rnacentral:rRNA from 1 species